CCUACGGGAGGCAGCAGUGGGGAAUAUUGCACAAUGGGGGAAACCCUGAUGCAGCGACGCCGCGUGAGUGAAGAAGUAUUUCGGUAUGUAAAGCUCUAUCAGCAGGGAAGAAAAUGACGGUACCUGACUAAGAAGCCCCGGCUAACUACGUGCCAGCAGCCGCGGUAAUACGUAGGGGGCAAGCGUUAUCCGGAUUUACUGGGUGUAAAGGGAGCGUAGACGGGAGCACAAGGCUGGAGUGAAAUGCCGGGGCUUAACCCCGGAACUGCUUUUGAAACUGUGCAGCUAGAGUGCAGGAGAGGUAAGUGGAAUGCCUAGUGUAGCGGUGAAAUGCGUAGAUAUUAGGAGGAACACCAGUGGCGAAGGCGGCUUACUGGACUGUAACUGACGUUGAGGCUCGAAAGCGUGGGGAGCAAACAGGAUUAGAUACCCGGGUAGUC
rnacentral:rRNA from 1 species